rnacentral:rRNA from 1 species
AUACGGAGGAUCCGAGCGUUAUCCGGAUUUAUUGGGUUUAAAGGGUGCGCAGGCGGGAGAUUAAGUCGGCGGUGAAAUUUUGCAGCUCAACUGUAAAAGUGCCUUCGGAACUGGUUUCCUUGAGUGUAGAUGAAGGAGGCGGAAUUUGUGGUGUAGCGGUGAAAUGCAUAGAUAUCACGAGGAACGCCGAUUGCGCAGGCAGCUUACUAAACAACUACUGACGCUCAGGCACGAAGGCGUGGGGAUCAAACAGGAUUAGAUACCCUGGUAGUCCACGCAGUAAACGAUGAUUACUAGCUGUUUGCGAUACAAUGUAAGCGGCUGAGCGAAAGCGUUAAGUAAUCCACCUGGGGAGUACGGUCGCAAGAAUGAAACUCAAAGGAAUUGACGGGG